UGAAGUUGCUGCAGAGACGUCAUUCUCUGUGGAGUUCCGCCAUUUGCAAUUUUCGCUGGUGGCCGACAAAAGUGCAAAAGUGAAGGAUUAAACGCCCAAAAACCAACCUAAAUGGGUAAAUAUAUAGCCAAAAUUUAUCUACAGCUAGUGUAUAAUGGGCAGUGAGUGAAAAAUUGGUGGAAAAUUGAUGAGAAAGUGCUAACUGAGGGGUUUGUUUGGAGGUGAGAAAUCGUAACAGGGAGUGAGUGGCCAAUGGCGACAAAUCGCAGUUGGCCCUUGUGAGAGAAAAAAAAAACUUCAUUGGAUUUUCACAUACUUCUCCGGGGGUUUUUGACUAUCCGGAAGCUAGAGAAAAUGUUGUCAGAUGUCUCAGGAAGCUAUUGAGGUGUGUCUUGAAACACAAGAAAGUGUCUACAGGUCAGAAAAGUGCUGAAAAUUGGGAUGUGUGCGUGAAGUUUGGGGUGUCUGGCGUCCGAAGAAAUUGUUGGGUCCUAGUGGCCCAUAAGUUUGAGCCACUUUGAGUGAGUCAUUCGACGUUUUUUUUUUUCAUUUCGGCUUUUAAUACAUGCCGAGAGUGUGAUAUAUAGUGUCAGUGUUAAAGCACAUCAGAUAAAAAGUUAAUCAUCCCCACCAAUUUGAGCUUUUCUUUCUUUUUUUGGGAAAGCACAUAGAGACUGGCAAAAAAGAAAAUUGCUGUAGAAAAUUUACCAUGAUAUAAAUUUUUGCUUAAAAAAAAACAACAAAAAAAAUAUUAAAAAGAAAAGGAUAACGUAGUACUUAUGGGAAUUUAAGUAAUAAUCUUAUAGAAAUAAUCCGUGUGCUAUUAGGAUUUAAGGUAAUUAAUAAUAAUAUUUGAAGUUACAAAUUUAGGGCUUUUUUCCUGUUUUCUUUUUUCUGAGAACAAACAAAAAGGGGAAAAUAUUGUGAAUAGGGAGUAGUUUUUUUUUCUAAGUUUCUCAAAGAGUUUUGAGAAAAAAUAAUAA